rnacentral:lncRNA from 1 species
ACACGUAUCUAAAAUUGCAUUCGUUCAUUGAUCAAGGGAGUACUAAUUUUCAACCGAUAGCGAUCACAAAAGAAAAAAUUAAUACAUAACAGAAAAUAAAAAAUUCUAACAUAUUUUUCGGUGUAUUUCUACUCUAAAAUGAUUUCAUUUUAAAUGGUAAAAUUGAAACAUAUUAAAUAAAAAAUUAACUUCUCGGCUCGAAUAUAUAUAUUACAAAAGUAGAAAAAGACAUAUUUAGUAAAAAACCAUCCUCUA